rnacentral:rRNA from 1 species
UGGGGAAUUUUGCACAAUGGGCGCAAGCCUGAUGCAGCGACGCCGCGUGAGGGAUGAAGGCCUUCGGGUUGUAAACCUUUUUCGCUCAUGGUCAAGCCGCAGCUUUGGGUUGUGGAGAGGGUAGUGGGUAAAGAAGCGCCGGCUAACUACGUGCCAGCAGCCGCGGUAAUACGUAGGGCGCGAGCGUUGUCCGGAAUUAUUGGGCGUAAAGGGCUUGUAGGCGGUUGGCCGCGUCUGCCGUGAAAUCCUCUGGCUUAACUGGGGGCGUGCGGUGGGUACGGGUUGACUUGAGUGCGGUAGGGGAGACUGGAAUUCCUGGUGUAGCGGUGGAAUGCGCAGAUAUCAGGAGGAACACCGGUGGCGAAGGCGGGUCUCUGGGCCGUUACUGACGCUGAGGAGCGAAAGCGUGGGGAGCGAACAGG